rnacentral:sRNA from 1 species
UAAAGAAACAUGUUGAUUUGUUAGGCC